rnacentral:rRNA from 1 species
GACGAACGCUGGCGGCGUGCCUAAUACAUGCAAGUCGAACGCUGAAGAGAGGAGCUUGCUCUUCUUGGAUGAGUUGCGAACGGGUGAGUAACGCGUAGGUAACCUGCCUGGUAGCGGGGGAUAACUAUUGGAAACGAUAGCUAAUACCGCAUGAAAUUGCUUAUCGCAUGAUAAUUGAUUGAAAGAUGCAAUUGCAUCACUACCAGAUGGACCUGCGUUGUAUUAGCUAGUUGGUGAGGUAACGGCUCACCAAGGCGACGAUACAUAGCCGACCUGAGAGGGUGAUCGGCCACACUGGGACUGAGACACGGCCCAGACUCCUACGGGAGGCAGCAGUAGGGAAUCUUCGGCAAUGGGGGGAACCCUGACCGAGCAACGCCGCGUGAGUGAAGAAGGUUUUCGGAUCGUAAAGCUCUGUUGUAAGAGAAGAACGGGUGUGAGAGUGGAAAGUUCACACUGUGACGGUAUCUUACCAGAAAGGGACGGCUAACUACGUG